AGAGUAGGCGGGGCAGCAUACGAAGAGCGAAGGCGAUUGGCUGCUCGCCGGGAAGGGGGCGGGGCUUGGCAUCCUGGAGGCGGCGGGAGGCAGCGGGGUGCUGCCACGCCCACUCGAACUGCAUAGAAGCUUGGUGUCAUCAGCAAAUUUUCUGAGGGUGCACUCGACCCCACUGAUGAUGUUGCUGAUGAAGAUACUGAAGAGUGUCAGCCUCAGCAUGGACCCCUGUGGGACAACACUCAUCACCAAUUGCCAUCCAGACAUGGAGCCAUUGACUGCCGCUCUCUGGACUCAGUCCUGCAGCCGAUCUUUGUCCAUUCAACAGUCCACCCACCGAAUCCGUAUCUUUCCCAGCUUCCCAAAACAGCUUCCUAAAACUCAAUCCAAUCAAAAUUCUGUGCUGUCUAGUAACAAGGACUUCCAUCAGACUGAGAGCUCAGGCUUUACAGGCCAGUGGUGGAGCCAAGAGGGAGGCCUCUGGAUUUUCAGAAAGGACCGAGAAUCAGGUGCUUUGUUUCACUCUUUUACUGGCUGUCUUACUUAAGGAUUCUGUCAGUCCAUAGGCACAUUUGGUUGGUUUGGCUGGAGCUUUGGAGCUUGGUGCUUAUGACUUCAGUUCUUUAUGACACGGAGCUGUGCCACUUGCUGCCUAGACCAAAUAUAUGUAUUGUUGUAGGAGAUCACUCUGUGCACUGUAUUUUUUUAAAAUGCUUUGAAAGUGUGAAUGUGGUAUCUGCCUUCAAACAGGGAACAUCUAAAAUAAAUUUAUUUAUUUAUUUACUUAUUUCGUUUUCUUGGAGCAAUUUGUCAGGGAAAUGUGAAUUCUUUCUUCUCUGCUGCAUGUUUCCCGUAGCAGUAUUCUAAGAAUGGUUUCUGUCAUUGAUUGCUUACUUGCUUAUUUACAGUACUGUAUGAAACAUGCCGUUCUUUUUCUUCUGUCUACAUAGAACUCCCUUUGUUUCCUUUGUAGUUUUGAGUUGUGCUGUGGAACAGAAUGUACAGCUGGAUCUAGAACAGUUGCCAAAGAAGUGUCCAUGGGCAAAUGGUGCUGGAUUUCCCAGGUGGAGAUCAUGAAGUUCCUUGCCUCCUUGCAAAGUGUUCUCAUAUUAUUCUUAUACAGCGUUGUAUGUUACUGCUGUACUAAGAUUUUUACUACAAAUCCAUUAUCUGUUUCCCAAAGGUAAUGGUGAUGCUGAGAAGCAUGCCUCAUGAUGACUUACACAUCCUUCAUGCUUCAUAUUAAUUCUUCCUUUGGGUCAAAAGUAGACUGAAAUUCUUGAAACCUUGCCUGGGAGUCCUGCUGUUGCUAAAAUGGUUCAGCCGUGGUGCCUGUGGUCAGAAUACCUUGUGGCAGACCCUGGCACUGGCUGUGAAUGAAAGAACUGAUGACAAAUUGCUCAAUAUCGAAAGCGAGCCAGUGCAUAUUUACAAGCCUUGGGUGAGCCAGAUGGAAUCUAAGAGGGAGAGGCCGGGUAGGAAAGCUGUUACUAUGAUGUUUCUUAGAAGACUUGCACGGCUGUUUUGCAUUGCUCUGUUAAUUGUUCCAAGGCACCCUUGGCUUCACUGCGUGCAAUUCAUACCAUAUUUUUUCAUCACCUCAGAUGCUGGCUGAAAUAUGUAUAUACAUGUGUAUAUAUAAAUGUAUAUGCAUACACAUAUUUAAAAAAAACCAAAACAUG
rnacentral:lncRNA from 7 species